rnacentral:lncRNA from 1 species
UGACGUGCAUACGAAGUAAAGAGUCUACACAUCCAGACCUCCAUAAAGAUUUAUAUCAGAUAAUUUAAAAUUUGAUCUCUAGUUCUACUAUAUUUCAGGUAAGAAUUUGAUCAUUAAACAAGUAGAAUAUUAAAAAUUUUUAGAUGCAACUUGGGCAUCUCAGAGAGAAACUGUUUCCCUUCCCAUCAACUAGUAUCAGAGCAGGCCUAAAAUAUAUGUAUACA